UACGUAGGGUCCGAGCGUUGUCCGGAAUUAUUGGGCGUAAAGGGCUCGUAGGCGGUUUGUCACGUCGGGCGUGAAACUCAGGGCUCAACCCUGAGCGUGCGUUCGAUACGGGCAGACUAGAGGUAUGCAGGGGAGAACGGAAUUCCUGGUGUAGCGGUGGAAUGCGCAGAUAUCAGGAGGAACACCGGUGGCGAAGGCGGUUCUCUGGGCAUUACCUGACGUGAGGAGCGAAAGCAUGGGGAGCGAACAGG
rnacentral:rRNA from 1 species